AGAGAUUAGCACUCUCAAUUCAGCGUGGAAAUGUUGCAUCGAUUCUUGGUACAAUUCCACCUUCCACGAACUUGGCAGAAUUAUUUUAGUUAUAAAUAAUGUAAAAUACUGUUAAAUAAAUCCAAAAAUCUUUUGUAUAUA